GAUUUCGCUUAGGCAGCUCUCAGACUGCAGUGGAAAUGAUACAGAGCAGACUAGCAUCGCUCCUACGAGGAUGGCAUGCAGAUCUGUGAAGUGCUCCAUAUUGUG
rnacentral:snRNA from 1 species